rnacentral:tRNA from 1 species
GGUAGGAUGGCCGAGG